GAUGAACGCUGGCGGCGUGCCUAAUACAUGCAAGUCGAGCGAACGGACGAGAAGCUUGCUUCUCUGAUGUUAGCGGCGGACGGGUGAGUAACACGUGGAUAACCUACCUAUAAGACUGGGAUAACUUCGGGAAACCGGAGCUAAUACCGGAUAAUAUUUUGAACCGCAUGGUUCAAAAGUGAAAGACGGUCUUGCUGUCACUUAUAGAUGGAUCCGCGCUGCAUUAGCUAGUUGGUAAGGUAACGGCUUACCAAGGCAACGAUGCAUAGCCGACCUGAGAGGGUGAUCGGCCACACUGGAACUGAGACACGGUCCAGACUCCUACGGGAGGCAGCAGUAGGGAAUCUUCCGCAAUGGGCGAAAGCCUGACGGAGCAAUGCCGCGUGAGUGAUGAAGGUCUUCGGAUCGUAAAACUCUGUUAUUAGGGAAGAACAUAUGUGUAAUUAACUGUGCACAUCUUGACGGUACCUAAUCAGAAAGCCACGGCUAACUACGUG
rnacentral:rRNA from 1 species